UACGGAGGGUGCAAGCGUUAAUCGGAAUUAUUGGGCGUAAAGCGCACGUAGGCGGCAUUGCAAGUCCCAUGUGAAAUCCCACGGCUUAACCGUGGAAGUGCAUGGGAAACUGCAGUGCUUGAGUACUUAAGAGGAUCGCGGAAUUCCCGGUGUAGAGGUGAAAUUCGUAGAUAUCGGGAGGAACACCAGUGGCGAAGGCGGCGAUCUGGGAAGAUACUGACGCUGAGGUGCGAAAGCGUGGGGAGCAAACAGG
rnacentral:rRNA from 1 species